AACGAACGCUGGCGGCAUGCCUAACACAUGCAAGUCGAACGAGACCUUCGGGUCUAGUGGCGCACGGGUGCGUAACGCGGGGGAACCUGCCCUUAGGUUCGGAAUAACUCGCCGAAAGGGGUGCUAAUACCGGAUAAUGUCUUCGGACCAAAGAUUUAUCGCCUUUGGAUGGGCCCGCGUUGGAUUAGCUAGUUGGUAGGGUAAAAGCCUCCCAAGGCGUCGAUCCAUAGCUGGUCUGAGAGGAUGAUCAGCCACACUGGGACUGAGACACGGCCCAGACUCCUACGGGAGGCAGCAGUGGGGAAUCUUGGACAAUGGGCGAAAGCAUGAUCCAGCAAUGCCGCGUGAGUGAUGAAGGCCUUAGGGUUGUAAAGCUCUUUUACCCGGGAUGAUAAUGACAGUACCGGGAGAAUAAGCUCCGGCUAACUCCGUG
rnacentral:rRNA from 1 species